GAUAAACGCUGGCGGCGUGCCUAAUACAUGCAAGUCGAGCGAACGGACGAGAAGCUUGCUUCUCUGAUGUUAGCGGCGGACGGGUGAGUAACACGUGGAUAACCUACCUAUAAGACUGGGAUAACUUCGGGAAACCGGAGCUAAUACCGGAUAAUAUUUUGAACCGCAUGGUUCAAAAGUGAAAGACGGUCUUGCUGUCACUUAUAGAUGGAUCCGCGCUGCAUUAGCUAGUUGGUAAGGUAACGGCUUACCAAGGCAAUGAUGCAUAGCCGACCUGAGAGGGUGAUCGGCCACACUGGAACUGAGACACGGUCCAGACUCCUACGGGAGGCAGCAGUAGGGAAUCUUCCGCAAUGGGCGAAAGCCUGACGGAGCAACGCCGCGUGAGUGAUGAAGGUCUUCGGAUCGUAAAACUCUGUUAUUAGGGAAGAACAUAUGUGUAAGUAACUGUGCACAUCUUGACGGUACCUAAUCAGAAAGCCACGGCUAACUACGUGCCAGCAGCCGCGGUAAUACGUAGGUGGCAAGCGUUAUCCGGAAUUAUUGGGCGUAAAGCGCGCGUAGGCGGUUUUUUAAGUCUGAUGUGAAAGCCCACGGCUCAACCGUGGAGGGUCAUUGGAAACUGGAAAACUUGAGUGCAGAAGAGGAAAGUGGAAUUCCAUGUGUAGCGGUGAAAUGCGCAGAGAUAUGGAGGAACACCAGUGGCGAAGGCGACUUUCUGGUCUGUAACUGACGCUGAUGUGCGAAAGCGUGGGGAUCAAACAGGAUUAGAUACCCUGGUAGUCCACGCCGUAAACGAUGAGUGCUAAGUGUUAGGGGGUUUCCGCCCCUUAGUGCUGCAGCUAACGCAUUAAGCACUCCGCCUGGGGAGUACGACCGCAAGGUUGAAACUCAAAGGAAUUGACGGGGACCCGCACAAGCGGUGGAGCAUGUGGUUUAAUUCGAAGCAACGCGAAGAACCUUACCAAAUCUUGACAUCCUUUGACAACUCUAGAGAUAGAGCCUUCCCCUUCGGGGGACAAAGUGACAGGUGGUGCAUGGUUGUCGUCAGCUCGUGUCGUGAGAUGUUGGGUUAAGUCCCGCAACGAGCGCAACCCUUAAGCUUAGUUGCCAUCAUUAAGUUGGGCACUCUAAGUUGACUGCCGGUGACAAACCGGAGGAAGGUGGGGAUGACGUCAAAUCAUCAUGCCCCUUAUGAUUUGGGCUACACACGUGCUACAAUGGACAAUACAAAGGGCAGCGAAACCGCGAGGUCAAGCAAAUCCCAUAAAGUUGUUCUCAGUUCGGAUUGUAGUCUGCAACUCGACUACAUGAAGCUGGAAUCGCUAGUAAUCGUAGAUCAGCAUGCUACGGUGAAUACGUUCCCGGGUCU
rnacentral:rRNA from 1 species